rnacentral:rRNA from 1 species
UAGGGAACUUAAGUUGGGCGAAAGCCUGAUGGAGCAACGCCGCGUGUGUGAUGAAGGGUUUCGGCUCGUAAAACACUGUUGUAAGAGAAGAAUGACAUUGAGAGUAACUGUUCAAUGUGUGACGGUAUCUUACCAGAAAGGAACGGCUAAAUACGUG